rfam:Gasterosteus aculeatus cont1.002636, whole genome shotgun sequence.
GUGGGCUAUGGAGACAUGGUCCCAACAACCAUUGGAGGGAAGAUUGUCGGAUCUCUCUGUGCAAUUGCCGGUGUGUUAACUAUUGCCCUGCCUGUACCUGUCAUCGUGUCAAAC